rnacentral:rRNA from 1 species
GAAUAUUGGUCAAUGGACGCAAGUCUGAACCAGCCAUGCCGCGUGAAGGAUGAAGGUCCUCUGGAUUGUAAACUUCUUUUAUAUGGGAAGAAAUUAUUGGAUUCCUCCGAUAUUGACGGUACCAUAAGAAUAAGCACCGGCUAACUCCGUGCCAGCAGCCGCGGUAAUACGGAGGGUGCAAGCGUUAUCCGGAUUCACUGGGUUUAAAGGGUGCGUAGGAGGGCAGGUAAGUCAGUGGUGAAAUCUCCAAGCUUAACUUGGAAGCUGCCGUUGAUACUAUCUGUCUUGAAUACCGUGGAGAUGAGCGGAAUAUGUCAUGUAGCGGUGAAAUGCUUAGAUAUGACAUAGAACACCAAUUGCGAAGGCAGCUCGUUACACGAAUAUUGACUCUGAGGCACGAAAGCGUGGGGAUCAAAC